AUACUGUGUAAUAGAAGUAAGCUCCAUCAAAGUGAAACAGGAUAAUUCGUACUGGUUAUCGUAACGAUGGCUCUGGGGCUUCAUGCCAAAUAUUAUUCUCUGUACCCUCUUCCCCCUCAAUCCGAAACCCACUUCUCAGACACUUGGAAAGCCAUUAGAAUUGCAUCUUCAAAAACCAUUAUAGCUCAAGCCGAAACUAUGCGGACAAGGAAGAAGCUCAAACCAAGCUUCUUCCAGCAAAUUCGCCAUAAAUGGUCAUCCAAAAUAAGUUCUCCAAGAAAGAAGUUUCCAUGGCAAGAAGAAGAAGCAAAAAAAUUAGUUAUAGAGGAAGAGGAAGAAAAAGAAGAAAUGAAAACCCCGCAGUCUUUUCGGGUUGCAGAAAUUGAUGUGGAGUCACCUGUGAAUGACCCGGUGAGCUUUGCUUUGCCAAAUCGUUUUGUUUCAGCUCCUUGGGAACAUGGAAAUUCUACACAAAUGCGGUUCGAUUCUCAACCUCAAAUCUCACGAAUUAGUCCUCUAAAAGAAGAAAAUGUUGAUGAGUCGCUGGUAAAUGAUGUUGUUAAAGAAGCCAAUGAAAUGGAUAAUGAAGUUAAUUGUGAAGAAGAAAUUAAAAUUGAUGGUAGAAUAGAGGAAAAACAUGUUGAAUUACAAAGAGACAAGCCAAUAACAGUUGUUGGGGGCCUAAAGGAUGUGGAUUCUGUGAAUGAAGAGCUAAAGGAGAGUGGAGAUUUUGGUGGUUCAAAUAGGGCACCAUGGAAGGAAGAUAAGAGGAGGAGGAACAACACGGAGUUGGCAGAGAAAAUGAUCCCUGAGCACGAAUUGCAGAGACUUAGAAAUAUUUCUUUGAGAAUGCUGGAAAGGAUCAAAGUCAAGAGCGCUGGGAUUACGCAGGCAUUGGUGGAUAGUAUUCAUGAGAAGUGGAAGAUUGAUGAGGUUGUGAAACUAAAGUUUGAAGAGCCUCAUUCACUUAACAUGAAGAGGACUCAUGAGAUUUUGGAGAGUAGAACUGGGGGUUUGGUUAUAUGGAGAUCAGGCAGCUCAGUAGUUUUGUUCAGGGGAAUGGCCUACAAACUUCCUUGUGUACAAUCAUUUACCAAACAAAACCAGAGGCAUCGCUUGGAGGACGUUACAAGUAAUUUCAUGCAUAAUGUGGGAGAGAACGAUUCAGCUGGGUCUAAGGGAUCUUUUAUGCAUUCAGCAAAGUAUUUCCAUAAUCUAUCUAACGAUGAACUUAUAGACUUAACUGAAUUCAACUAUUUGUUAGAUGAGCUGGGUCCACGGUUUAUAGAUUGGCCUGGCCGUGAGCCAUUGCCUGUAGAUGUAGACUUGCUUCCUCCGGUGGUUCCUGGAUACAAACCACCAUUCAGACUUCUCCCAUAUGGCAUAAGGCAAUCCUUAAGAGAAAACGAGAUGACAAUGUUUCGCAGGCUUGCAAGAAAAACGCCUCCACAUUUUGCCCUUGGAAGGAACAGAGGACUACAAGGCCUAGCUCAGGCAAUGGUGAAGCUAUGGAAAACGAAUGCUAUUGCAAAGAUAGCAAUAAAACGCGGUGUUCUCAAUACAAGUAAUGAGAGGAUGGCAGAGGAACUCAAGAAAUUGACUGGGGGAACAUUACUUUCCAGAAACAAGGAUUACAUUGUCUUUUAUAGGGGUAAUGAUUUCCUGCCACCUAUUGUUACGGAGGCAUUCAAAGAGAGGUUGAAACUAACAAAUAUUCAACAAGAUGAGGAAGAACAAGCUCGGCAGACUGCCUUAGGCUUGAUUGAGUCAAAGGCCAAAGCUCCUAGUGUCCCAUUGGUUGCUGGCACCCUUGCUGAAACCUUGGCAGCAAGCUCUCGUUGGGGAAGCCAACCUAGUAGUGAAGAUGUGGAGGAAAUGCUGCGAGAUUCAGCUCUAACUAGACAUUCUGCAUUAGUCAAAUAUCUUCAGAAGAAACUAGUGCUUGCAAAAUGGAAAUUGAGAAGGGCUGAGAUGGCUUUAGCAAAAGUACAGGAGAAUCUUGACCCGGCAGAGCUCCCCUCUGAUUUGGAAACCAUAAGCAAUGAAGAGAGGUUUUUAUUCCGUAAAAUGGGUCUGAGUAUGAAACCCUACCUACUUCUAGGUAGGCGAGGUGUUUAUGAUGGUACUAUAGAGAACAUGCACUUGCACUGGAAGUUCCGUGAGUUAGUGAAGAUAAUUGUCAAAGGAAAACGUUUUGCACAAGUCAAGCAGAUUGCAAUUUCUUUAGAGGCUGAGAGUGGUGGAGUACUGGUAUCUUUGGAUAAAACCACCAAAGGAUAUGCAAUUGUUGUUUAUCGUGGGAAAAACUAUACAUUUCCUCUUAAACUGAGACCCCAGAACUUGUUGACAAAAAGGCAAGCAUUAGCUCGGUCGAUUGAACUUCAGAGGCGUGAGGCAUUAAAAAAUCAUAUCUUGGACAUAGAAGAGAGACUUGAGUUGGUGAAGUCUGAACUAGAAGACAUGAAAGCUAGUGAGAACAUUGAUGUCUGGAAAAGAUUGUACUCAAGAUUAGAUGAUGCUUACUAUUCCAACAAUGAUUCUGAUGAGGAUGAAGGCGAAGAGACAUCAUCAGACAUAUGAGCUCAAGGCAAUGAGAUUAGCUAUAAACUGAAAUGAGUUCUUGUAACAAACAUCAGUUUAUCGAUUCUUGCACCUGCUUGAAGCUUAGGGAUCAAGCACAGAAGAUAUUUUCAAGAAAGGUUCAAGCAACCCAGAAAUGGAUGAGAUGAAAGCAAAGAAAUAGGUUCUUCAGUAACAUGAUUGAUUAUCCUGGGUCAUUGAUGUAGAUAGUCAGUUAAAAAAAUGAUGUGAAGCAUUUAGGAAGAAUUCCAUUAUGUAUGGUGUCAUCUGAUGUUUAGAUUACAGAGAUCAUGGAUUUCUUUGUAGAUUAGGCUGUGAAUCUUCAUUAAUCGCCGAAUGCCCUGGAAUUAUACUGUUGAGCUUUGAGAAAAGAAGUUCCCAGUGGUAGGGUUGCUCAAGUUCUGUUGUCAAAGCUUCGAAGGAUUUGAUUAAAACUCUUAACUUGUCUAGAUUAUUUAAGACUUCAUAAAAGUAAUUCCAGAAGAAGUUUGUUAAUUGUUACACAUAGGAAGCUCCUCAGAUCUGUUAUCUUUUUUGGUUUAGAUGAAUUGCUCUUAUUUGAAUGAAUUUAUCAGCACACAAAAUGCUUAUCUUGCUUGGCUCUUAG